rnacentral:tRNA from 1 species
UCCCUGGUGGCCUAAUGGUUAAGGGCUCAGCAUUGUCACUUCUGUGACUCAGGUUACUACUAUGGCUCAGGUUUGAUCCCUGGCCCAGGAA